rnacentral:rRNA from 1 species
GGUUAAGCGACUAAGCGUACACGGUGGAUGCCCUGGCAGUCAGAGGCGAUGAAGGACGUGCUAAUCUGCGAUAAGCGUCGGUAAGGUGAUAUGAACCGUUAUAACCGGCGAUUUCCGAAUGGGGAAACCCAGUGUGUUUCGACACACUAUCAUUAACUGAAUCCAUAGGUUAAUGAGGCGAACCGGGGGAACUGAAACAUCUAAGUACCCCGAGGAAAAGAAAUCAACCGAGAUUCCCCCAGUAGCGGCGAGCGAACGGGGAGCAGCCCAGAGCCUGAAUCAGUAUGUGUGUUAGUGGAAGCGUCUGGAAAGGCGCGCGAUACAGGGUGACAGCCCCGUACACAAAAAUGCACAUAUUGUGAGCUCGAUGAGUAGGGCGGGACACGUGGUAUCCUGUCUGAAUAUGGGGGGACCAUCCUCCAAGGCUAAAUACUCCUGACUGACCGAUAGUGAACCAGUACCGUGAGGGAAAGGCGAAAAGAACCCCGGCGAGGGGAGUGAAAAAGAACCUGAAACCGUGUACGUACAAGCAGUGGGAGCACGCUUAGGCGUGUGACUGCGUACCUUUUGUAUAAUGGGUCAGCGACUUAUAUUCUGUAGCAAGGUUAACCGAAUAGGGGAGCCGAAGGGAAACCGAGUCUUAACUGGGCGUUAAGUUGCAGGGUAUAGACCCGAAACCCGGUGAUCUAGCCAUGGGCAGGUUGAAGGUUGGGUAACACUAACUGGAGGACCGAACCGACUAAUGUUGAAAAAUUAGCGGAUGACUUGUGGCUGGGGGUGAAAGGCCAAUCAAACCGGGAGAUAGCUGGUUCUCCCCGAAAGCUAUUUAGGUAGCGCCUCGUGAAUUCAUCUCCGGGGGUAGAGCACUGUUUCGGCAAGGGGGUCAUCCCGACUUACCAACCCGAUGCAAACUGCGAAUACCGGAGAAUGUUAUCACGGGAGACACACGGCGGGUGCUAACGUCCGUCGUGAAGAGGGAAACAACCCAGACCGCCAGCUAAGGUCCCAAAGUCAUGGUUAAGUGGGAAACGAUGUGGGAAGGCCCAGACAGCCAGGAUGUUGGCUUAGAAGCAGCCAUCAUUUAAAGAAAGCGUAAUAGCUCACUGGUCGAGUCGGCCUGCGCGGAAGAUGUAACGGGGCUAAACCAUGCACCGAAGCUGCGGCAGCGACACUAUGUGUUGUUGGGUAGGGGAGCGUUCUGUAAGCCUGUGAAGGUGUGCUGUGAGGCAUGCUGGAGGUAUCAGAAGUGCGAAUGCUGACAUAAGUAACGAUAAAGCGGGUGAAAAGCCCGCUCGCCGGAAGACCAAGGGUUCCUGUCCAACGUUAAUCGGGGCAGGGUGAGUCGACCCCUAAGGCGAGGCCGAAAGGCGUAGUCGAUGGGAAACAGGUUAAUAUUCCUGUACUUGGUGUUACUGCGAAGGGGGACGGAGAAGGCUAUGUUGGCCGGGCGACGGUUGUCCCGGUUUAAGCGUGUAGGCUGGUUUUCCAGGCAAAUCCGGAAAAUCAAGGCUGAGGCGUGAUGACGAGGCACUACGGUGCUGAAGCAACAAAUGCCCUGCUUCCAGGAAAAGCCUCUAAGCAUCAGGUAACAUCAAAUCGUACCCCAAACCGACACAGGUGGUCAGGUAGAGAAUACCAAGGCGCUUGAGAGAACUCGGGUGAAGGAACUAGGCAAAAUGGUGCCGUAACUUCGGGAGAAGGCACGCUGAUAUGUAGGUGAAGUCCCUCGCGGAUGGAGCUGAAAUCAGUCGAAGAUACCAGCUGGCUGCAACUGUUUAUUAAAAACACAGCACUGUGCAAACACGAAAGUGGACGUAUACGGUGUGACGCCUGCCCGGUGCCGGAAGGUUAAUUGAUGGGGUUAGCCGCAAGGCGAAGCUCUUGAUCGAAGCCCCGGUAAACGGCGGCCGUAACUAUAACGGUCCUAAGGUAGCGAAAUUCCUUGUCGGGUAAGUUCCGACCUGCACGAAUGGCGUAAUGAUGGCCAGGCUGUCUCCACCCGAGACUCAGUGAAAUUGAACUCGCUGUGAAGAUGCAGUGUACCCGCGGCAAGACGGAAAGACCCCGUGAACCUUUACUAUAGCUUGACACUGAACAUUGAGCCUUGAUGUGUAGGAUAGGUGGGAGGCUUUGAAGUGUGGACGCCAGUCUGCAUGGAGCCGACCUUGAAAUACCACCCUUUAAUGUUUGAUGUUCUAACGUUGACCCGUAAUCCGGGUUGCGGACAGUGUCUGGUGGGUAGUUUGACUGGGGCGGUCUCCUCCUAAAGAGUAACGGAGGAGCACGAAGGUUGGCUAAUCCUGGUCGGACAUCAGGAGGUUAGUGCAAUGGCAUAAGCCAGCUUGACUGCGAGCGUGACGGCGCGAGCAGGUGCGAAAGCAGGUCAUAGUGAUCCGGUGGUUCUGAAUGGAAGGGCCAUCGCUCAACGGAUAAAAGGUACUCCGGGGAUAACAGGCUGAUACCGCCCAAGAGUUCAUAUCGACGGCGGUGUUUGGCACCUCGAUGUCGGCUCAUCACAUCCUGGGGCUGAAGUAGGUCCCAAGGGUAUGGCUGUUCGCCAUUUAAAGUGGUACGCGAGCUGGGUUUAGAACGUCGUGAGACAGUUCGGUCCCUAUCUGCCGUGGGCGCUGGAGAACUGAGGGGGGCUGCUCCUAGUACGAGAGGACCGGAGUGGACGCAUCACUGGUGUUCGGGUUGUCAUGCCAAUGGCACUGCCCGGUAGCUAAAUGCGGAAGAGAUAAGUGCUGAAAGCAUCUAAGCACGAAACUUGCCCCGAGAUGAGUUCUCCCUGACUCCUUGAGAGUCCUGAAGGAACGUUGAAGACGACGACGUUGAUAGGCCGGGUGUGUAAGCGCAGCGAUGCGUUGAGCUAACCGGUACUAAUGAACCGUGAGGCUUAACCUU